rnacentral:rRNA from 1 species
AUACGUAGGGGGCGAGCGUUGUCCGGAAUGAUUGGGCGUAAAGGGCGCGUAGGCGGCCUGUUAAGUCUGGAGUGAAAGUCCUGUUUUCAAGAUGGGAAUUGCUUUGGAUACUGAUGGGCUUGAGUGCAGGAGAGGUUAUCGGAAUUCCCGGUGUAGCGGUGAAAUGCGUAGAGAUCGGGAGGAACACCAGUGGCGAAGGCGGGUAACUGGACUGCAACUGACGCUGAGGCGCGAAAGUGUGGGGAGCAAACAGGAUUAGAUACCCUGGUAGUCCACACUGUAAACGAUGAAUGCUAGGUGUAAGAGGUAUCGACCCCUUUUGUGCCGGAGUUAACACAAUAAGCAUUCCGCCUGGGGAGUACGGCCGCAAGGUUGAAACUCAAAGGAAUUGGCGGGG